rnacentral:lncRNA from 1 species
UAGAACAUGCUGGCUGUUAACCAGGAAGAGGGCCUUCACCAGAAUGAUAGUGAUGCUGGCUGGCAUCUUGGUCUUGGACUUCUUAGUCUCCAGAACUAUAAGAAAUAAAUUACUAUUAUUUAUAAGUACCCAGUUUGUAGUAUUCUGUUACAACAGCCCAAGUUGACUGAGACAAUUAGAUCACUUAUUUAUUUGUCCAACAUUUCCCAACAUUAAUGGCUCAUAAUGAACUUGAAGUCAAAUUAAGUUCUUUAGUCUUUUUUUUUUUUUUUUUUUUUUUUUACUAGAACUGAUCAUAGGCCACAUUUUCCCCCAUCUGACCCUUGAACAAUUAACUUUUUGAAUUGAAGAAGCAAGGCUUCAAUUUAGGUAAAACUUCAAUUUAGGUAAAACCCUUAAAGUUUUACCAUACCUGGAACCCUGUAAUCUGCUAAGUCUCUUAUAACUCCACCCUAUAACGUGGGCUUACCUGCAAAUGUGAUCAUGCAUAAUUUCUAUGACUUAAUUCAGAUGGACAAAAAUGCUACGGUGGUCAGGACAGAAUGCAGGCCUGUGAGCCUCACCACUAAAGACCCACUCCCCAACUUUACGAUGCUUUACCAAUUAUGAAGCACUUUCGCAAUCAUUUCACUUGAAUUCUUACAAGUACCCUGUAAAUCAGAUACUAUUGUCAUUCUAUAUGUGAGGACACGAAUUCAGAAAGACUAUCUGACUUGCCUAAUGUGACACAGCUAAUAAAUGACAAAAUAGGAAAAAGCCUUAGGGCUUCUGUUUCCAGUGCCUUUUCAAAAACAGAUUUUUCAUUUUUUCCCCCACCAUCCUACCUUGUUAGAAGUGAAAACCCUUCUCUCUGUAGCGUUCCAGCUGUUGUCUCUAAAUCUCAGGUCGAAUUUGUAGGUUUUCAGGAUGGUUUGAAAGUAAUCUAGGUAAGUUGGUGGGGACAGGUGAGUUGAGGACCCCUACUCCUCUGCCAUCUUGCCCUGCCCCCCCAAUUUUUCAUAUUUUUUUAAAGAUUUUAUUUAUUUAUUCAUGAGAGACACACAGAGAGAGGCAGAGACACAAGCUGAGGGAGAAGCAGGCUCCCCAUGAGGAGCCUGUUGUGGGACUCGAUCCCAGGACCCUGGGAUUACGACCUGAGCCAAAGGCAGAUGCCGCUCAACCACAGAGCCAUUCAGAUGUCCCCAAAACAGAUUUUUAAAUACAAUGACUAGCGUAAUAUCUUUUUCCCUUUUCUCCCCUGCCAUGGAUAUCAACAAAGACUAAUUAAAAUCAAAGAAAUUUUUCUACAAACAAAAUCUCACUUAAAACCCACUCUAUAAAACAGAUUAAAAGCUGGCUGUUCUAAUAGAAAUGAGGUGCAAGACUCUCAGCCUCCAUCUCUGUCCCACUUGAGGCCUCCCCUCAACCCUACUGUAGAUGGUAACUGGCACCUCAUAGUCUUCCACGUACAUUCAGAAGUCACUAGCCAAUGGCAUGUUUUCAAACUGUACCCUUCUCUGAAAACAAUUUUAAAAAUAUGACUAACUUGUCAUACCUUGUUUUCAUAAUAUAUUCUAGAAUUUUGUGGGAGAUAUCCAUUUAAGAGUUUUAAUAAUCUUUUACAUGGAACAGAUUUGUUUUAAAGUUUGAAGGCAACUUUGGGUUAAUUCAAAUCUUUAUUUCACAGAUGAAGAAACAGCAACCCAGAGAAGAGAAGUAACCCACCACAGGAUCAUUCCACGGAGGCACAAGGAUAAGAACCCAGAUCUGGACUCUCCUUGGCAGGACUCCAUCCAGGAUAACACAUUACAUCUAGUUGUCAUGUUUCCAUAGGCUCCUUUGAGCUGUGACGGUUUUUCACACUUUGCUUGCUUCUGAUGACCUUGAGAGUUUCAAGGAGUACUGAUCAGGACAGACUUAUUGCAGCUUGAAGGAGCCAACCAUGGAUUUCAAGCGUGUGAAGGACUAUUUCUCCUGGCUCUACUAUCAAUACCAAAUCAUCAGCUGCUGUGCCGUGUUGGAGCCCUGGGAACAAUCCAUGUUCAAUACCAUCUUACUAACUAUUUUCGCUAUGGUGGUAUACACCGCCUAUGUUUUUAUCCCAAUCCACAUUCGUCUGGCUUGGGAAUUUUUCUCCAAAAUAUGUGGCUAUCACAGUACAAUUUCUAAUUGAUCUUGUUUGCAUUCUGUGACUCGGCAUUGCCUAUGUAUAUGUUGCUUAUGACUUACAAUUUACGUGAAUACUGAUCUGAAAAGCUCUCUUCUCUAUGCACUCUUAUAUCUUGCCUGAAACGUGGGAUAGAGGUCUCUUUAGGUUCUUUUAUACAUGCUACAUUGUGCAUCAGUCCAUACAUACAAACACUUUACCUCACAUACCAACCAUAUUCUCUCAACUUAGACUUUAGAUUUUGUUUUUAAUCAAGAAACUUCAUAUAAAAUUUUUCUGAAAGGUAGGCUUAUAAGAGACCUACCAGAAUCAUAUUUAAAAUGUUCCCUUGAUACCUAUUCUGUACUAAAGGGUAUAUUUUUUAAAAGAAAUUGUUCAUAAGCUCCUGUCAAAAGUAUCCUAUCCUUGUUUACAACAUAUAAAAAGAUGUGAAUAAAUUAUAUGGGCCCCCUAAAGUCUUAUUUUCUAGUAAACUGCUGAUACCUAAAAUUCUUUUACUUCAAGUGCAAAAGAAUAGGCUGGAGGCAAUUAUCUCUUUUCAGACAUGGUUCAUGAAUUAUUUCAAAUGCCUCUAAAAGUCUGGCUUUAUAACAGUUUAAAAUCAACAAUGUUGAUUUUAGAUAACCCAGUAAGUAUUAUAAUACAAAAAAUAUUAAGUGUAAGGAACAAAAAAUAUAAUCAAAGUAAAUUCAGAUAUUGUGACUUGCAAUGCUGCCUUGCCUUGCAUGAUGCUGGGGGGUGGAGGGAAGAGAAAAGAAAUUGCUUUCUUUCUGUGGUUUCACUCAGUGGAGCUGGGGUGGGGGUGGGGGAGCACGUAUUAGGCUACAGGAAGAAAAGCUAAUAAAUAGGCUGGAAGUAAUACUCUACCAGCAGGAACUCGACAGCUCCAGUUAAACGCUUUGAUAUAGUGGCUCCUUUGCAGAGCAAAAACAAGAUUUAUUAAAUUUCCUUCAAAGUGUUUAUCUUAAAACAAAUACAAGUUUUUAAUUGUACUGCUGAAUCAAAUGUGAAUGCCAAAGACCAAACCUUACAGUUUGUCUUCCCUUUCAAUAAAUAUUAAGGUUCAUAAUUCUAGAAGGUAAAAUGUAAAUAGUUUUUGGAUAAUAUUUGCACCCAUGUUUGUGUUAUGGGGAAAAAAUUUCCAAGGAAAGCUAGAGAGAAAGAUGUUUGGCAUGCCAAAUUAACAUGCAUGUUUCUUAACACAACAAACGUGUUUUGAAGACAAACCAGAUCUGAACAUGUACUUGUUGAUUUUUGCAAAAUAAAAUUAGGUUUAAUUUUGUAAAUAAAA